rnacentral:lncRNA from 1 species
GUAUGGUUUGUUACCAGUGACAUGAUACAUUAUUGUUUUGUUUUUUGGAAUGUUACAGUAUAUCGAUUGCCGUGUGAAGGAGACUAGAGACGUACGAACGAAUAAGAAGAGUUGGCCCAACUUUAACCUAAACAAUAAUUAUCCCGCUGCUAUUUUCUAUUUUAUGACUUGAGUUUCUUAUUAUGUAAUCAUCCAUUUCAUAUGGUAAUAAGUAAUAACGAUAAAGGAGCUCUCUCUCUCUUUAUCGGCGCUUUGAUGUAUGUACGCCUAACAUACCAUCAGGAAUAACACUUUGUCUUUCUCUUACAUGUAAUAUAUAUGAUCAAGAGGUUGCAUGAACUAAUGAGCUUUUACCUAACCGCAUAUAUAUAAAGUUAUAGCAUCCAUGAAAAAGGUUUGGCAUAUAAACAUGUUUUGCAAGGUCAAUACAAAGGAUAUCGUUUUAGUCUUCUAAGAAUGUAAAUUUCAUUACUAUUGUAUUGUAUGUUUGAUACAAGAGAACCUGAAUCCAAAGGAUAUCAGACAAAAUGGGUAUUCGAUAUCAGACCACCGGUUCUACAUGUAUGUCAAAUAUUUGUUGUGAGUGUACGUUGUUUGGAUUAAUUUAUAUAUAUAUACUAGUGGUAUUCCGGCGCUACGCGCCGGGUUCAUAUUUUUUUAUUCUUUAAUGAAUUCAAUCAUUUGCUUAUAGAAAUAACAGUUUUUGCAUAUCUUCUUGAUGUUUAGUAAUUAAGUUUGGGGGAUCAACUUGGGGUUCCGUUUGCCAAACUAAAUUAUCAAUACGUUUGUGCUGUUUAUUAAUUUAACAAUUUUAUUUGUUUUGUUUGGUUAUUUGUAGGUUUUAUUUAAAAAUUAAGCUACUGUUUUAUGCAUUUGUAUUUAGCUGGAUUUUUCUAUGUUAUGUGCAUGUGAUACUAAGAAUGUUGCACUCAGACAGUUUGUACCGGCUACUUAUGUAUUAUAGCUACUAUAUGUGGCUUCGUAUGUCAUUUGGGGGUCUUAGUUAUGGCUUAGCUUAGGUUGGGUUUUUUUUGACAGACACAAUGAAAAAAGAGUUGUCCAAAAAAAAACACAAUGAAAAAAUUUGCGAUAGUAGUUAAAGUGAAAACAGAAGCAAAAGCUCAAGUAAAAAAAAACAGAAAAAUUUCUAGGGAAAACUGAAACAAUAGCAAUGUACCAACAAUCCCAAAGAAAAGUAAAAAUUUAUAAAUAUUAAUUAGAAUCUAUAUAUUCGAUUUGAAAAUGAGUAAAAUUUAAUUAGACUUGUAAAUAUAUAUAAGAUUUGCAAAUCAAUUAAAUUGCAUAAAUGAUUGACACCCUUAAACUUUUGAUAAAAAUAAAGUAAAAAUCAAAACUGAGCAGCAAACCAACAUAUGCUGAGUCGCUCAAAUAAGAUAAUUCUUAUAUAUAUAUAUAUAUAUAUAUAUAUAUAUACUGUUGUGAUUGAAAUUUUCAUGCGUGAUUUCAUAAAUUUUAAAUAUGUAUAAAUUUAAAAUUUAAAAUAAAAAUAUGUAAAGUAGUAUUGUUACAUAAUAAUGUUUUCAAAAUAAUUGUUUGUACAAAAAUACAAAUUUAUAGUAAUAAUAUAUAAGCCACAUAAACAUAGCUAUUAUAAAAAUACAUAAUAUAAAACACUUAAUUGCAUUAAGUUAUUUGUAAAUUUUGUUAUACUCCCUCUGUAUACAAAUAUAGAUGUUUUAGUUUUUUUUCUUUGUAUACAAAUGUAUGAUGUUUUACUUUUAACUAAUGAAAUUUUCUUUAAAAAUAAAAUAUUAAUCAAAAUGUAAAAAUUUAAGUGGUUGAAUUUUUAUUGGAAAUCAAAUAAAACUUUAAACUAACUAAAAUAAAAACCAAAAAGUAAUAGAUAAAAAUAAAUAUUUAAUUUCUCUUAAUAUGUGUUAACAACCUUACACAUCCUAUAUUUGUAUCAAGAGGGAGUAUAAACUAAAAUAUUUAAGUAUAGAAAUAAAAAACCGCACUAAUUCCGUAGCUUUUAUUUAAGGAAAUAAAAAAAUAUUAUUUUGUAAACUAUUAAUUAAUUUGAUAGUUAUUUUAGUUAAAAACAUAGUAUAUAUUUAUAUGGACCAACUUAUUUUUUUAAGAAUUCUAAGAAUCACGCUCUUGAUGACACGUGGCUACGAAUAUGUUGUAAUGCUCAAUGAUUUAUAUAUAGGGGAUUUUUCCCAUAAGCAAUUUUACUUAGGUUUGACCAUUUUGUCAACAACUUAUUAUAACACAUUAACUUUAGUUUCUGGAAAUAUUUACAUUCUUAGGAAAAAAACUCAAGUAACCGAAGAUCGGGGAAGCAUUGCAUUAACAUGGGAAUAUGUGUAUUUUUGAUGUUUAAUUCAUAGUAAAUCCCGUUAUUCAUCAAAUUUGCAUGCAUGCGAAGCUAAGCAUAAUUUACGGGUACACAUGACAUUGAUGGAGCUUUCCCAAUUAUAAAAACCGCACCGACGACCUCAACAAAGUAAAACAAUCAAUUAAACACAAUUAAAAAAAAAAUGACGUUUGCUUCAAAGAUCAUCACAUGCCUCCUCGUCCUUACGAUCUACAUUGCAGCUCCAACAGAGUCACACAUAACGUGUGGGACAGUGACAAGCACAAUGACACAAUGCAUCAGCUACUUGACCAACGGUGGUCCAUUGCCGUCAAGCUGCUGUGUGGCAGUCAAAUCAUUGAACCAAAUGGCUCAGACCACACCAGAUCGCCGACAAGUAUGUGAGUGCCUUAAAUCAGCCGGUAAGGAAAUUAAAGGCCUCAAUAUCGACCUUGUGGCCGCACUCCCUACCACUUGUGGUGUUUCACUUUCCUACCCCAUUGGUUUCAACACCAAUUGUGACAGGUACUUGUCCAUAUAUAACUUUGUUUUUGGUUUUAUAUUAGAUCGUUUUGCUUCUUUCUAGAUUAUCGAUAUAAUUUUCACAGCUGUUUCCACAGUAUAUCUUGAAAGCUAGUUCUCGAUCUACUUGACUCCAAAAUAUAUAAAAGAAAAUGGAUUUGGACUAAUUAAACUACCAGAUAAACACAUAGUUCACUAUAGUCGAUAGUAUAUUGUUGUAUGGUUUGUUACCAGUGACAUGAUACAUUAUUGUUUUGUUUUUUGGAAUGUUACAGUAUAUCGAUUGCCGUGUGAAGGAGACUAGAGACGUACGAACGAAUAAGAAGAGUUGGCCCAACUUUAACCUAAACAAUAAUUAUCCCGCUGCUAUUUUCUAUUUUAUGACUUGAGUUUCUUAUUAUGUAAUCAUCCAUUUCAUAUGGUAAUAAGUAAUAACGAUAAAGGAGCUCUCUCUCUCUUUAUCGGCGCUUUGAUGUAUGUACGCCUAACAUACCAUCAGGAAUAACACUUUGUCUUUCUCUUACAUGUAAUAUAUAUGAUCAAGAGGUUGCAUGAACUAAUGAGCUUUUACCUAACCGCAUAUAUAUAAAGUUAUAGCAUCCAUGAAAAAGGUUUGGCAUAUAAACAUGUUUUGCAAGGUCAAUACAAAGGAUAUCGUUUUAGUCUUCUAAGAAUGUAAAUUUCAUUACUAUUGUAUUGUAUGUUUGAUACAAGAGAACCUGAAUCCAAAGGAUAUCAGACAAAAUGGGUAUUCGAUAUCAGACCACCGGUUCUACAUGUAUGUCAAAUAUUUGUUGUGAGUGUACGUUGUUUGGAUUAAUUUAUAUAUAUAUACUAGUGGUAUUCCGGCGCUACGCGCCGGGUUCAUAUUUUUUUAUUCUUUAAUGAAUUCAAUCAUUUGCUUAUAGAAAUAACAGUUUUUGCAUAUCUUCUUGAUGUUUAGUAAUUAAGUUUGGGGGAUCAACUUGGGGUUCCGUUUGCCAAACUAAAUUAUCAAUACGUUUGUGCUGU